rnacentral:rRNA from 1 species
UGCCCAACAACUAGCCCUCUAACAACUUCAACUCCCCCUUAUUAAUACCCCCUAAAUACCCCAGUAUUUAUUUUAACCAAACCAUUUUUCCCCCUUAGUAUAGGUGAUAGAAAAGGGGCUUUAGGCGCAAUAGAGAAAGUACCGCAAGGGAAUGCUGAAAGAGAAAUGAAAUAACUCAGUAAAGCUUUAAAAAGCAGAGACUAAUUCUCGUACCUUUUGCAUCAUGAUUUAGCAAGUGUUCCCCAAGCAAAGAGUACUUUAGUUUGACACCCCGAAACUACGUGAGCUACUUCAAGACAGCCUAUUAAUAGGGCCAACCCGUCUCUGUGGCAAAAGAGUGGGAAGAACUUUGAGUAGAGGUGACAGACCUACCGAACCUAGUUAUAGCUGGUUGUUCAAGAAAUGAAUAAAAGUUCAGCCUCUCAGCUUCUCAUUUCACCCAGGCCUAACCCCUUCGGAUGCACAAAGAAACUAAGAGAGUUAGUCAAAGGGGGUACAGCUCCUUUGAAUAAAGAUACAACUUUAACAGGAGGGUAAAGAUCAUA